rnacentral:rRNA from 1 species
AAUCUUGGACGAUAGGCGCAAGCCUGAUCCAGCCAUGCCGCGUGAGUGAUGAAGGCCUUAGGGUUGUACAGCUCUUUCGCCAGGGAAGAUAAUGACUGUACCUGGAUAAGACGCCCCGGCUACCUCCGUCCCAGCAGCCGCGGUAAUACGGAGGGGGCUAGCGUUGUUCGGAAUUACUGUGCGUAAAGCGCACGUAGGCGGCUUUCCAAGUUAGGGGUGAAAGCCCUGGGCUUAACCCAGGAACUGCCCUCAAAACUGAAAGGCUAGAGUGAGAGAGAGGUGAGUGGAAUUUCCAGUGUAGAGAUGAAAGUCGUAGAUACUGGAAAGAACGCCAGUGGCGAAGGCAGCUCACUGGCUCGGUACUGACGCUGAGGUGCGACAGCGUGGGGAGCAAGC